CAGUGGCGCGAUCUCUGCUGACUGCAACCUCCGCCUCCUGUGUUCAAGCGAUUCUCCUGCUUCAGCCUCUCGAGUAGCUGGGACUACAGGUAUCUGCCACCACGCCCGGCUAAUUUUUUGUAUUUUUAGUAGAGACAGAGUUUUACCGUGUUAGCCAGGAUGGUCUCGAUCUCCUGACCUCGUGAUCCACCCGCCUUGGGCUCCCAAAGUCUUGAGAUUACAGGCGUGAGGCACUGCGCCCAGCCUACUGGUGGUCUUAUAAGAAGAGCAGAGAACUAUGAACAAUCAUGCGCAGCCCCUUCACCAUGGGAUGCCCUAUACCACUUGGGGACUCUGCAGAGAGUCCUCACCAGCAAGAAAGACCUCGCCAGAUGCAGCCACUCAAACUUGGACUUGUCAGCCUCCGUAAUUAAAAGAAAACUGAGGCAUCAGCAGAAGAGACUCACCUAAGCUUGUCCCUGACCACCCGCGCACCUCAUAGUUUGGGACGGAAUUGAGAUCACAGAACAGGGUUCCUUUGUCUUUUGUUAAAUCUGUAACAUUGGAUCGAUGUGUCUAAGGUUAACUGUUGGAUGUAAUAAUAAUGAUAUUAAAAACUGACCUUAAGGGCACAAUUUAUUAAAGUUUCCAAGUCACUUACUUGGAAGUCAAGUCAAA